UGGGGAAUAUUGCGCAAUGGGGGGAACCCUGACGCAGCCAUGCCGCGUGAAUGAAGAAGGCCUUAGGGUUGUAAAGUUCUUUCGGUAUUGAGGAAGGUUGAUGUGUUAAUAGCACAUCAAAUUGACGUUAAAUACAGAAGAAGCACCGGCUAACUCCGUGCCAGCAGCCGCGGUAAUACGGGGGGUGCGAGCGUUAAUCGGAAUAACUGGGCGUAAAGGGCACGCAGGCGGUUAUUUAAGUGAGGUGUGAAAGCCCCGGGCUUAACCUGGGAAUUGCAUUUCAGACUGGGUAACUAGAGUACUUUAGGGAGGGGUAGAAUUCCACGUGUAGCGGUGAAAUGCGUAGAGAUGUGGAGGAAUACCGAAGGCGAAGGCAGCCCCUUGGGAAUGUACUGACGCUCAUGUGCGAAAGCGUGGGGGGCAAACAGGAUUAGAUACCCUGGUAGUCCACGCUGUAAACGCUGUCGAUUUGGGGGUUGGGGUUUAACUCUGGCGCCCGUAGCUAACGUGAUAAAUCGACCGCCUGGGGAGUACGGCCGCAAGGUUA
rnacentral:rRNA from 1 species